rnacentral:rRNA from 1 species
CAGCAGCCGCGGUAAUACGGAGGGUGCAAGCGUUAAUCGGAAUUACUGGGCGUAAAGCGCACGCAGGCGGUCUGACAAGUCAGAUGUGAAAUCCCCGGGCUUAACCUGGGAACUGCAUUUGAAACUGUCAGGCUGGAGUCUUGUAGAGGGGGGUGGAAUUCCAGGUGUAGCGGUGAAAUGCGUAGAGAUCUGGAGGAAUACCGGUGGCGAAGGCGGCCCCCUGGACAAAGACUGACGCUCAGGUGCGAAAGCGUGGGGAGCAAACAGGAUUAGAGACCCGCGUAGUCCCUGUCUCUUAUCC